rnacentral:ncRNA from 28 species
UGAAUAAUUUCCAACUUUGGUGCCAUAUCCCCCGGAUGGGAUGGCUUAAAGGCGAAGCCGGUUCACAGUCCGGCGCUGUCGCGCAACUGUAAGGGAUUAUCUCCCAAGCCAGGUCGCCCGCCCAAGUUGGGUUCACUACA